CAAGUACUCCUUCCGUACGGAAUUACUUGUCAUCAAAAUGGAUGUGUCUAGAACUAAAAUACAUCUAGAUACAUCCAUUUCAAUGACAAGUAUUUUUGGACAGAGGGAGUACAAG
rnacentral:pre_miRNA from 1 species